rnacentral:ncRNA from 2 species
UAAUAACAUUUGGGGUGCGUUUGCUGAGAUUAUACCCAUGGAACCUGUCCAGAUAAUGCUGGCGUAGGAAAAUGUUCUAAGAAGGCU